UUUAACGCUGGCGGCAGGCCUAACACAUGCAAGUCGAGCGGAUGAAGGGAGCUUGCUCCUGGAUUCAGCGGCGGACGGGUGAGUAAUGCCUAGGAAUCUGCCUGGUAGUGGGGGAUAACGUCCGGAAACGGGCGCUAAUACCGCAUACGUCCUGAGGGAGAAAGUGGGGGAUCUUCGGACCUCACGCUAUCAGAUGAGCCUAGGUCGGAUUAGCUAGUUGGUGGGGUAAAGGCCUACCAAGGCGACGAUCCGUAACUGGUCUGAGGGGAUGAUCAGUCACACUGGAACUGAGACACGGUCCAGACUCCUACGGGAGGCAGCAGUGGGGAAUAUUGGACAAUGGGCGAAAGCCUGAUCCAGCCAUGCCGCGUGUGUGAAGAAGGUCUUCGGAUUGUAAAGCACUUUAAGUUGGGAGGAAGGGCAGUAAGUUAAUACCUUGCUGUUUUGACGUUACCAACAGAAUAAGCACCGGCUAACUUCGUG
rnacentral:rRNA from 1 species